ensembl:lncRNA
CAGCCCAUGGCAGGGGGUGGGACCGAGUGGGCUUUGAAGUCCCUUCCAACCCAAACCAUUCUGUGGUUCUAUGAUUUCUAACUGGGAAGGUGACAGCUCCCUGGGAACCUGCCUGGGCGUUCACUUGCUCACGGAAACCUUUAUCAAGAGAGUGAAGGUGAUUGUCCGGGCCCCUUGAUGUCCUCGGGAGAUAGCCUGCAGGGAGGCUUUCUGACAGGCUGCGAUCUCAGCUAUUGCCCUUUGACAGCAGCAGAGAUAAAGACGCAUGAACAUCCUGCUCAGGAAACUCCCUCCUCCUCGUGCGUCGGUCCUUGAGUCUGAUAAAUGCAGGUGAGACCUCUGCUCGCCGCAGGCAGCCUGCUGUUUUGCUUCCAGCAAGCAGCUGUGCUACGUCUUGGCAGCACUUUAAGUUUGGAUUACUUAGUGCCCAUUUGUCCCCUGCCUUGGGACGGUCCCUUGUGGUGGUUAGGAGUCUUCUGACUUCCAGCACGAGAGCAUCUGUGGCCGGCUCCUUGCUCAUCUGUUCUUGAGCCAGAGGACAGGGCUGGCACAAACAGCUCUUCUCCCUGCCUGCGCUCCUCGAUGUUGAUUCGAAGUAGUCUUCCUUUGGCCUUGGGUUUCAGAGGGAUGCGUUUCAAAACCAGAAAUAAAUGGGCUUGAAAUACUUCCCAUCAUUUUGUUUUGCGAGAUCUUGACCCUCUGAUAGUGAGAUUAGAAGAAAGAUAACAAAAUCAGCAUUCAGGCUUGGACAACUGUUGUUAAGUAGGCAGCCCACUGAAGUCAGUGCUUCUUGUUUACAAAUGAACUCAUGAAUUUUUAGAUAUUAAUGUAUGAGGGAUUGAGUAAACAACCAUUGUGCCUCUAAGGAAUGAGUCCCAGGCUGUCCUGAGCUGGAAUACUUUGUACUUUCCUGAUUGCCUUCCAAGAAUUUCAAAUUACUUUGUAACAGAAAAACAAGUCUGCUUCACCAGACGUGUGUGAGGUUCUCGGGGCAGCCUUAAUUCAUCGGCACCGGGAUGCGGUUGGUUUGGGUUUUGGGGCAUGGCUGUGUAUCUGGGCGUGGGAUGCUGAGCAUGGAGGUGUUGUAGUGAGAUGUGGAUGGCACUUAGGCCAGCUGAGCCAUAAGGAACCUAUGAAAACUUUGCUGCAGCGUGGAGGUCAAUCUGUAGCCCUGUUGGUCCCCGUUCCCAGCUUGAUGGACACGGGGACGCACCGUACACUGGCCCAUCAAUGUGGCUAGUGGGAGAGGUGAAGGGACUACUGGCAUUCACAUAGCAGGUGAGGGUGAGCAGAGUACCCUGCUCCCCUAACCCACAGCCUUUUGGGAGCAGCUGGGAUACUCUUGGGUAUGGGUACAGAGGAGCAGCCCCAGGGACCAGGUGUUGAAAGGAUGCGUGGCCAGGGACGUUCCCUGUGCUCCAGACCAUGUUAUGAACCCACGGGCUCUCCAGGCUUGCUGAAGCAUUUCAGAACACAGUGGCCCUGGCCACAGGCUUUGGUACCCAUGCAAAUUGCCCCUUAUUUCUGGCUGUCCUAUGCUCAGCAAGUGCUCUUGGGGAGCAGCCAGCCCAUUGCUUUCAACCAAAAAUAACACUUGGGACCGGAGACAGGUAUGCUUGAAUGUCCCUGCCCAUCUGGGCUGCCCCAGUGUCAUGUAACUUAUGUUUGUGCUGUCCUGUCCCACACACCAUGUGGGUGCCUUGGUGAAGCAGGCAGGAUGGGGCUCUCGCUACCUGGGUCGUGCUUGGGUUUGGUUUUAAAGCCAGCAGCCUGGAGCUGUGGAAAGAGUCAUGAAUCCGGGUUACCAAACCAUCUGCUGGCUGCAUUUUAAAAAGCAAUUAAAGCAAAACUGUUUCCAGGCCUUCUGUUUGCAAGAUGUAGUUUAAAGAGAGCUAGCCAAGCCAGGAUUUGCCUGAUCCUGCCACAGCUCCAAGUAUGAGUUAAUUUGAUCUAAUCCCCGUGCUGUGAGGUGAGGAAAUCCCCACUGAGGAAGUGUGCAGGUAAGCAGGGCUGUUGGCACAGGGGUUUCUGUAACAAUGAAAUCCACAAGACUGGCAUUUGGAUUAUUAUUUUUAUUGCUUCUAAUCAGAAAUUGUUACACAGGGCUUAAAGAAACAAAUAAUAGGAUGCAAGAACCCUUCUGCAAGGUGGAGGAUGAUGAGUGUUGCUUGAAGGUAAUGGCAUCGAGAUGCCCUUGCAAAGAUGCUCCUGUGCUUGGCUUUGGAGACUUGCAGGAGGCAACCAUGGAACCUGGACCAUGCAUCCAAUAAGGAGGAGGGGAUGCUCAAUGCUCCUGUGAUCUCAAGCCUCUUGGCCAUGCCUCCUGUGGGACACAGAAGCUGUUUCCCUAUGGGAACAGUUUGCCCUGGUGCUUGUUGGCAAUUGUGCUGAACCUCUUGUGACUGCACCUUUGGUGCUUUGGGUGUAAGGCAGAGACAAGUGAGGUCUGAUGUUGUGGAGCUCACGCUUGGACCAAAGCAUCUCCUUUUUCUAGCAGGAGAAGGUGGCGAGCUUCCGUGCUAGGUCUUGAUGGAGGCUGGGGUGGCGUGAUGGUGGCUUGUGGUGUGGGGUCGAGUGUAAGGACCAUGAGGUUUGAGCAUCGCUAAUGGGCACGACCAGCUGAACUUAGCGUGAGAAGGGGAGGAUAACCCCAAUAAGCUCACAACAGGGGGGUCAUUCCUGGGGUGUGGGGAGAGAUGCUUCUUGGUUUAGAAGAAAAGAAGAAAAAAGCCCCGAGAACAGCACUGAGCUGAGACAGCCACUUAUGCAAGAGCUGGCAGUGGGGCUGGCCGCACCGAAAGGCAGCGGGUGCCAGCAGGGCGCGAGUGGCUCUGCAUCCUCCUGUUUGCUCAGCAGCUUUCGUGUGGCGGGGGAGCUGGGUUGAGGGCACGAGAUUCCUGCACACUGAACUCCUCUGUUCCUCUCAGCAGGGUAAACAGGACAAAAAACAAAGCCCCAAGCCAGCGCCCGCCUCCAAGGUAGCCUCCUGCCAGCCACCCUGGGGUGCGCGGAGGUGAUGGGGUCACCUUCAGCCUCUCCAGGAUGAUUUCUGGAUGCUAUUUCCCUGGGUAAGUGAGUGUUGUUCCUGGUGAGGAGCGGGCAGGACAAAUGGGGCAAAGCACCCCAGCGAGUAUGGAUGUGGAUCAGCUGCCCAGCCCUGCAUCCUUGGUGAGCUGAGGAUGGGUGUUCCCAUGGUGAGCCCAGGCUGUGGGCUGUGCAGAUGCUGGUCAGGUUGAGUGUCCCCUGUGAGGGUUGUAGGUGUCCCAGCAGUGCUGAGCCCUAUUAUAGGUACCACGAGGUGCAGGGAGCGAGGAGAGGUGAGUACUGCUCCUCUCUGCAAUGAGCUCUGCAUCAUUUUGCUCAGAAAGCUGCUCUUUAGCUGUAGUUCCCCUCUGGGGCAAGAUCCAAGCUCUCUUGUCCAUGUCAGUGACAGAGGGUGAUGGGGCUGACCUCAGCCCUUUCCCAACGUGGUAUUAGCUAAUCCAGCUCCCCAGCGACGCAGCUGUGGGGCUGGUCCAUUGCCAGCCCCAGCCCAUGCCAGCUCUCCUGCAUUUCCACAGAACUGUGAUUGCACCACUGCAGCCUUGCUCAGAGCAAGGUGAGAAGGAAGGAAGUUUGAAACACUAGAGAGUUUCCUUUCAAAUGGGAUUUGCAUCAAAGAAGCCCGUAUUUAGCUUGAUGCAGCUUGGUUUGCUGUAGGGCUGCCAGGAAAUGUUAAAGCAGCACGGUGGGAAGGUUGUUUUGGUGCUGCACAUCUGUCCUGUGUUGUCUGUCCUGGUCGCCCAUGGAGCCGUAUGAGAGCCGGGGUGCACUGGCCUGGAGUAGGGGAGGGAUGUGGGGGGCUGAGGAGUGACAUGCCUGAGCAGCAGCGGGUGCUGAGCUCCUCUGUACCCAUCGGGAUCUCAGGAGGAGGAGUCAAGUCUUGGGGCCGCUACCCAAACCUCUCUGCCUGGGGUUUGGUGAGAGCUGGCUUUCUCUGGGGAUUCCCACCCCAGGCUUGAUGGGUUGGAAAUACUGCAAGAGCAGCCCUUUUUUGUUGUUGUUUUUGUUUUUAUUCUCCUGAUGUUUGUGUCUUUCCACUUCCGUCCCUGGCCAAAGCAUGUGAUGCCAAGGCAAAAGAGGCAGGCACACCCAGCAGGGUAGGGGGAGGAGAGGGGUGCAAGUGCCUUUAACCCACAGGAAAAGGGAAACAGAAGGGAAAACCCAUAGCUGGCACCAAGGAGGCUUAAGCCAUGGUCUGUUCUGUCCAGACACAGGGAGUGACGUGGUGACCACCAGAAUGCAGAGCCCCAGGGCUGUGCCUCGGCACCGCAUGGGACAUCACCAGGGGUCUCAUGGCACAGACCCCCCUCCCCUUCACCCUGCUUUGAGCUGCAAUAUGGUCACAAGCUGCCUUAGCAGGAAGGGAUCAAGCAUUCAAAAGCAGCGCGGGAUCAAAGCUUUCUAAACACUCGGGGCAUUUGGCUUGGGAGGUUUUGUUCCAUCUAUUUAUAGCGGUGGGGCCAAGCGAGUUCAGAGUUGGAGGCAAACUUUUCCGAAGCUGGGGGACGUUUGGAGCGGGAGGGGGAAAGGGAACUCGGCCAGGCCCAUCUUCAACAUGCAUUGACUCCUUCCCUUAGGUAUGUGUUGCUCUCCAUGACACACUAACAACAAGCCUGCAUAGCAGAGCCUGGCUGAGGCUGCAAGGAUUGAGGCAAAAAUGUGAAUUGGCUGGGAAUGGGAACAUGAAAUAAAGAGCUUCCAAACAGCAAAGACAUGGUGUUUGAAAGUGAAAAUUGUUUCCUUACCAACGUGCUUUCACCCUUGGGUCAACAUCCUUCAAUUAUAAGUAUGCUUGUGUUGUUUUCCAGGGGAAAGCUGGUGAGGAUUCCAGGGCAAAAUAAGGCUAAGGGUAUCCUGAAGCAUAUGCUAUGUUUAUAAAUGGAGGGGAGGGAUCUUCUCAUCUACAAGAAGAAAUUUUUGUGGUGUAAUUGAAGAACAUGUUGGUUUUCUGUGCUACACCCUGUAGGCAAAAUCAGGCUUUAACUGCAAGCAAGCAAACCAAUGAGCAUACAGGUGAGAUUGUGCAAUGUCCGCGCCAUCGCCCUUGCGGGGCAUGCAGGCAAUGGCUGGGAUUUUCCUGCAUCUACCAAGUUGUGAUUUUGUGCUGUGCAGUCUGGGCACCGCGGGAGCUCCUCAGCCCAUGCUGGUGAAGGAGGUGACAUCAAGGCAAACCGAGAGCUUGGUGGAUGGAUUUGGGAUGGAUUGCUGCAUGGCACAGCACGAGCCCAUCCCUCAGAGCCAGGACCAUUCCCUGUCGGUGGCAAUGUCCAACCCCCAUGAGUGGGAUAUGGCACGGAGGAUGGCAGCUCAGGGCAUGGCAGCAGCAGGGGCAUCCCAGGUGAGCAUCAAGGCAGAUCCCCGCACAAGCCCUUUUUGGGGAUGAAAUUAACAUUUUAGGACGGUGACGAGGGGGACUAUUUUUUUACUGUUCCCUUAGCAAAAUGCCCUUUUGGAUGCCAAAAUAUAGCAGGCAAAGGUGCUGGCCACAUUUUCCCCCUCGCUUUCAACCCCCCUUUCUGCACAGUGACAUUUCCCACUUCGAAACCCUGCUCUUGAUUUCUUAUUCCUUCCUUUUCCCCUCCUAUUUCUCCUCCCUCCCUCCCUCUGAGCCCCCUGGGACCGGGCCCCUGCCCGGGGAGCCCUGGCCGUGUGCCGAUGGCAGCUCCCGGUACAAUGGGCACAUUCAGCCGGGCACGGCGUGGUGAGGAACAAACCAGGCGAGAGUAUGGGACCCCCCUCUGCCCCCCCAAAUAGCAGUGCAAGAAACAAAGCGGCUGACGCCGUGUCCCAGUGCGCCGGCGGAGGCGAACUGGAAUCCAGCAUCACAAAACCAGCCCUGUGCAUGCUCCAUUCACGACGCAGGCGCGCGGGUGUCCUGCUCCCCCCCUCCUUGCCUCCAUCCCCCCAAAAUCUCCAAAUCUGCCCAGUAACACCGAAAGCGGGCUCCCUUUCCCAGGGCUCGGCCAAUCUGCGCGCUGCCAAGGCGGCGGUGCAGGGAACGGCAUGUUUUCCUUCUCCCUUUCUUCCUCCCCAGCCGCUUGUUUUUCUUCGGGGAUGGAGGGGAGGCGCUGGGCUGAGCUCACGGGCAGCCCCCGCUUCAGCACACGUGUCCUUUCCCCAUAAAAAAAAUGAUGAUGAUAAUAAUAAUAAUAAUAA